AAAUCAAGCAGGGUCUCCUGUCUGUAGUCUGUUGGCAACGUCGCUUCGAAAUGGCUCUCUUAGCUCGAAACGCGAAUCGCCUGGGGCUAACGACGGCGUCGUAUCAGAGGGCGGCAGGUUUAGCCUCAAUCCACACUACCCUUCCGACAGCCUCUUCUCAACAGUCCUCGGCGGCACCGACGACCUACGCACGUGCGCCUCCUCCCUCAACUUCGUCCCCGACGGGCCUGCCCAAGGCAGCUGAAUAUGUGAUCUCAAAGGUGGAUGAUCUCAUGAACUGGGCCCGCCGUGGAUCCAUCUGGCCCAUGACAUUCGGGCUGGCUUGCUGUGCCGUCGAAAUGAUGCACACCGGGCGCCGCCGCUACGACAUGGACCGAUUUGGGAUCAUCUUUAGGCCUAGCCCUAGGCAGUCCGAUUGCAUGAUUGUUGCUGGUACUCUCACCAAUAAGAUGGCUCCUGCUCUUCGCAAGGUCUAUGAUCAAAUGCCUGAGCCUAGGUGGGUCAUAUCAAUGGGAAGCUGUGCAAAUGGCGGGGAUACUAUCAUUAUUCCUAUUCUGUUGUUAGAGGUUGUGACAGGAUCGUGCCAGUUGACAUUUAUGUCCCUGGUUGCCCCCAUCUGCAGAGGGUCUUCUUUAUGGACUUCUCCAGCUGCAGAAGAAAAUCAACAGGCGCAAGGAUUUCCUUCAUUGGUGGACAAAAUAAGGCUUGCCGAUGCACUGCAGGGCUGCUAUGGCUUGCUUUCUGUUGGAAUAAACCAAACUGUGUGGUUUCCCUUGCUAAAAAGUGAUGAAAAGGAAAAGAUAGUUGGGCUAUUACGGUAUUACCUACCAUGAACUAUAUUGUACGUUGUUGUACUCAGUAGCCACUGGUGUUGCUUGGAGCCAUAUACUAUUGGUUUUGUUUCACUGUUUAUCAUAUCUUAUAAUAAAGACGCAAAAUUGAGUUAAGCGUGCAUGUUUUUUUCGACUUUAACAGUGAGCUAGAUGAGAGGGGCUCCUAAUCAUUGUCGAGUUGGACAUGGUGUUUUACUAGACUCGUUUCAUUAAUUCAAUUAGAUGUGGCCGCUGCU